CAAUUGAAUACUUUGAAUUUUAUUGUCAGGAAUUGCGCCAAGCGCCGACACUUCUUUACUAUUUCGGAUAGUGUCUGGAACGCACGAACAAAACGCCGCUAUUCGGAUAUAACGAUGGAUUAUUUUGGACCAAACCAACAUUUGUUAUUGAAGUAGACGUCCUGGGUGUGCAUUCUGACGAAGACAACAAAAGUACACCAGCAGUAUGAGAGAAGUUUGGACUGGAUCUCCAUGCGAAAAACAACACACAGUUGAGACCCCCCCCCCCCAAAUUGGCUUAUACUACCCUAUCGUCUUGGCAAUCUCACUGUGGCGUUACAGGUCAGGGAGUCAGAGGGCUAAUCCAGCAGACCCAAUCAGCUUCGUGUGGAAUCUGAAGUGCUGUAAGGAGGAACUCUCUAACUACAGAUUCAGGAACUUCUCCUUCUUUCUCUUGGAUACCUGUUAUGGACAGUUGCAGUCAGGUGGCAGGAGAGGUGGAGUUCAUGACACUCCAUCCUGGAUAUGACAGAGUUUGCCACAAGUCAUGGGUACAGCAGGCAGAGGACUCCAUUUCAAAAGCAUCUCUUCUGCCCAUCUGUAGAAAAACAAGAAAAAGUUGAUGAGUGACACUUUAAAAAGGGUAAUAUUACUAAGCACUUGUGAUGUUCUGUCUUAUUAUACUGAACAAAAUAUAAAACGCACCAUGUAAAGUGUUGAUUCCAUGUU
rnacentral:lncRNA from 1 species